UACGUAGGGUGCGAGCGUUGCCCGGAUUUAUUGGGCGUAAAGGGCGCGUAGGCGGCUCGGCACGUCCGUUGUGAAAUCGCCCGGCUCAACUGGGCGGGGUCAGCGGAUACGGUCGAGCUUGAGCAAGCUAGGGGGCAAUGGAAUUCCCGGUGUAGUGGUGAAAUGCGUAGAUAUCGGGAGGAACACCUGUGGCGAAGGCGACUUCCUGGCCUGUUCUUGACGCUGAGGCGCGAAAGCUAGGGGAGCAAACGGG
rnacentral:rRNA from 1 species